GCUAAGCCCUAAACAUUGACAGGUAUUAUACAACACCUUCCGCCAGAGAACUACAAGUGAAAAACUUAAAACUUAAAGGACUUGACGGUGUCCCAUAUCGGUCUAGAGGAGCCUGUCCUAUAAUCGAUACCCCUCGUUCCACCCAACCUCAACUAGCAAACAUGCCAGCCUAUAUACCGCCGUCGACAGCCUACCCUAUGAAGGUAUAACAGUAGACACAACAGCCUCCCACUAGCACGUCAGGUCAAGGUGUAGCAAAUGUUGAGGAAGAGAUUGGCUACAUUUUUUAUAAUAAAAAAUACGAAAUGUAUUAUGAAAUAUUACAUGAAGGUGAAUUUAGUAGUAAAAUAAACAAGAGUGUUUAUUUUAACAACGCUCUGGGACGCGUACACACCGCCCGUCACCCUCCUCACAACUAAACAAAACCUUUAUAAACUAAUCAAAAAAAUAGAGGAGGC
rnacentral:rRNA from 1 species